CGGAGGAUGCAAGCGUUAUCCGGAAUUAUUGGGCGUAAAGCGUCCGCAGGUGGCAAUUCAAGUCUGCUGUUAAAGGUUCUGGCUCAACCAGAGACAGGCAGUGGAAACUGAAUAGCUAGAGUGCGGUAGGGGCAGAGGGAAUUCCCAGUGUAGCGGUGAAAUGCGUAGAGAUUGGGAAGAACACCGGUGGCGAAAGCGCUCUGCUAGGCCGUAACUGACACUCAUGGACGAAAGCUAGGGAGCGAAUGGGAUU
rnacentral:rRNA from 1 species